CGCCACCUAGCACAGGUGCACAUGCCGAGCACGUGCCGUCGUCUUCCCGAUUUCGAAUCCCCCAUUGCUCCCCGCGUGGCCGAGACGCGACUAGCCCUAGCCCGCCCUGCGCACCGCCUCCAUCUCCUCCUAUCCGCGUCCUCCUCCCUCUCCGCAUCAUGGUGGCGAGGAUGGGGUGAGGGAGCUUCGCGUCACCGUGCUGAUGGAGCAGAUCCGCGUAGGGCGGCGUGGGCCGGGGGCGGAUGGGGAGUUGGGACGACUGCGAUGGCGGAGGCGGGAGGGAUGGCGGCCUUCCGGUGACUCGGCGAUCACCGGCUCCGGUGUCGUCAAUAGUGGCGCGGCUACCCUAAUUUGGGUUUCUGAGAACCGAAUGGUGCAGAGGAGGAGCCAGAUUAGGGGAUCGCUUGCUGUAUUUGCAGAACUCAAGUGAGAUUGUUUCAUGAUUUCUUCGGUUUCCAAGGAACGAUGGCCAACCCGUUUUGCUGGGAAAGUUACGCGUUGAAUAUUCACAGCACUGUUUGGGAUAUGCUAGUUUUUAUCUCCUCCUUUUCUAAUUUGCACAGAAUAAGUAGCAAAUUUUAUUGCUUCAGAACCUUGGUGCUUAGCAAAGUUUUCUUAUUGUGUCACAUAGAUAUUGUUAUAUGUUAAUACCAUAAUCUUAGCAUCAUUGUUUGAUGAAUGUCAGUGCUAGAUAAUUCCUUUAGUAUAUGCAUAAAAGGUGAGCAAGAAGACAAGAAAAACAAAUUUAUGAAUUACAGCUUUGCACCAACUGAAAAGGGAAUGGAUGUUCCAUCAUUUGCACCCUCCUGGACUUGUUCCCAAUUGACUUUCACAUCAUUUGAACUGCUUAGGUUGUGUUAUGAUGGGUUUGCAUGUCCUUAUAUUACUAUUCCUAUGAAUUUAAAAAGGCUUUUCUAGGAGAAAUGGUCUUGAAAGCAACGCCAGGCCUUGAAGAGGAACAUGCAAGUGCUCAGGAGCUUGUGCUUCUGGACAGUUGGCUUUUUCAUGGAUUGGACUGCUCAUGUUGUGAUGUGGUCAGUUGCAUGGACUAUUCCUAUAAUCCUAUCCCCAUGAAUUUUUCAUGCCCCAUUCAUGGCAGCGAAAGCAAUACUAAGCCUUGAAGGGGAACAGGCAAGUGAUCAAUGAUCAUGGGCUUGUGCCCCUUGUGGUCUCUGGAUAGAAGUUGCCUUCCAAUAGCAUAUGACAUAAUUCCCAGAGAUUAUGUUGGUUGAUAUUGUUUCUGAUAUUACAUAUGUGUUGAUUUUAAUUUUAGAUUCUGAAUUGCUAAAAGGGCACUGUCCAAUUGUCCAUGAUUAUUAGUUAUUACUUAUUAUGUCCUUGUGCAUUUCAUUUAUCUUUUUUUCUAAGAGAGUACCGUGGCUCUAUAUUUACAGUUACCAUACAUUACUUAUUAGGUCCUUGUGCACUCAGAUUUAUCUUUUAUAACAGCAGUACGAAUUGGCUCUACAUUUAUAGCUACCAUAAGCAAUUUAUAUUGGCUUUCAUUAGGUCUACUCUUCCUAUUUCUCUGAAUCUUCUAUUUGCUAUGAUCUCUGGCAAUUCGAUUUGAGCCUGAAGAAGUCAUCAAAAGUUGCUGAAUUGGCUAAAGCAAUGGCUUGAUAGAUUUCGAUUCAUUUUAAGUUUUCCACCCAGAGCGUCUACUGUCUUUGCAUCUUGCUUAGUAUUCUGUGCUUUGUUUUAGGUUUCUGUUUUUUUUUGUUCGAGGUUUGAGUUUUUGGAAAAUGUGCAUUCAUUCUUAUCCCUGGUAUGCCAAGGUGAAAAACUUAUCCUGGUCAAGGCUGCUUGAAGUAAGUAAAAGUUUGAUCACUGUUUAUUAUCUGGUGUUAAUGGUUCUGUUUAUGCACUAUUCUUAGUGUUAGAACUUUAUUAUCUGGUGUUAAUGGUUCAGUUUAUGCACUAUUCUUAGUGUUAGGACGGAAACUUGAUAGAAAACAUAGAAGACAUGUCACUUAACUCCAUUGUUAAAUGCAUAAUUGAAAGGACCUCAAGAUGCCUAGAGGGGGGUGAAUAGGCUGAUCUUUGGAGUGUUUUUUACCAGUUGUCUUACUUUAGAGACUUGUAUAAUAGUAGAUCGAUCACAAACCCUAAAAUGUUGGUCUCACAAGCAAAUAGUUCAAAGCAAGGUGACACGGAGAGGUAAGGAUUUGUUUUCCGGAGUUCACUCCCCAAGGAGCUAUGUCUCCGUUGAGGAAGAGUUCAAGAGACGAUGCUCAAGAACCCUUACCCUUACGCUCCUCCCCAAGGGUGAGACUGACGCUCAAGCCCAAGGUCACUUACUAUGAAAUCCUCCGAGAGGAUGGCGAGUACAAACUUCUUGUGGAGCUCACGAUACGGCUGAGCAUUCACAAGCACGCCUAGCCGUCUAGGAGCACUUAGCUCCAAGAGUAACAAACUUCAAUCACCGGCUUGACAAGGAUCUAGUGCUUAAGGGAUUUGAAUGGCAGCUCACGAAGCACAAAUCUCUCCUCUUGCAACACUCACACUUGAAUCCCCAAUGGAAAUUACUCAAAGAUGAAAGGAGGGGCGUGAGAUGGCUCUUUCAAGAUGUUUCAAACUGUGCAGCAUAAAAAUGAGCCAGAGAGCUAACUGUUGAGGGUAUGGGGGGUAUUUAUACCCCCACUCCAAAAACUAGCCGUUGGAGCAAGAGGUGCCCGGAAAAUACAGGCAAAUGUCCGAAUACUCCGGACACUGGGGUCCGGACACUCCGGACUCAGCGAAAACUACUGACGGGGAACAGGGAACACAUACCCGGAGACUCUGAGUGUAUGUCCGGAUACUCCGGACUUUAUGUUCGGACAUUUCGGAUCCGGAGUCUCUGGACUCACUAGGGACACUCUCAAAACCUUGUGGUGUAAGUUUGACUCAUAAGUAUUUGUAUGGGUUCUCUUGAGCACUAGUUCUAAGUCAAAACCUGCAGAUCAAAGUUCUUUUUGAUAGUACGGAGUUUCUAUGCUCAAAAAUAAAAUAAAAGUCUACUCUUUGAGUAAAUUUUAACCACCGCUUUUUAAUUUCAUUUUGAGGGGUCAUACUUCAUCAUAUAUUUUCAUCAUAUGUUUUGCUUGUUCAAUUUUAGCACAUGCACACAUGCUAGAUAACGAGAUUAAACGUAUAUGUAUUUUGUAAUUUAAACACCAAAAUCCACGUAGGGGUCUAGAUAUCUUUCAAUAAUCUAUUUGCAGCUGCUUAGGUAAUUGCAGUUAUUAGAUCACACCUUAUGUGACUGUAAAUAGUAUAGACCUUUAGAAUUUGGAGGUAAGCUAUAGCAUUGUUAUAGUAAACAAAGUGUUGAAACAUUUAAUAUUCUAACUACUUGAUGUUUUUGGAAUAUUGAUGAAAGGUUUAGCUCUGUUUUUGAUGGCGAGUCAUCUUAAUGAAUGUAUAGUGGCAAUGUAAUAACUUUUUUAUAUAAUAAUGGAAGGUUGACGCAAUGAAUAAGGUGAUGGCCCCAAUUGUCGGAUAAUAGUGUCUUACCAAUAUCUUGAUUAGAGAGCAGCGAACUAAUAAACUUUGAUUAACUGUAUUUCAUGGAUAUUCCAGUUAACAAUAUGGAAGCGAUGAAUUUAUUUGAUUUGGAAAAUGGUUUUCUUAUAUUAUGACUUUCCUUAGGAUUAACAGUAGAAAUUAGACAUGAUAUUGAUAAUAACAAUUAUCUGGAUGAAUUUGUGUUUUACAUUCUGAUAUUAGACAUGUUUUGUAAUCUUAUAGCAAUUAUCUUUAAUUAGCUUGCCCUCAUCCAUUAUUUGCACAUUGUUGCUCGAAAUUACUCCAAAAAACAUUACCACAUUACAUGAUCAGCAGAAUUCAAUAGCAUGAUAGUUUCUGUCCGUGUCGAAAGUGUUACCUGCUGGGCCACAUACCAUCUAUACGAGAACACCGAUCCUUGGUCUUCUUGUAGGUAAUUUGACUAAACUUGGUGCAGUUGAUUUUCAGAAACCUAAUAUUACCUCAGAAGAGUUUUUUAUUAUCUUUUUUCUAUGUGGUCAUCAAGCUUUUACUUGCUAAUUAUGAUAAUAACGACCUGUUAAUUCGUCCAGCAUAUUUAUUAUCUAGUAGUGUGCGAAUUGUAGCCUUUUCUUCAUAUUGGUUUGAUGGAUGCACUUCUCUAUUUGUCCUGCGUGAUUUUCUUUUCCUCAGGUGGCAUAAUGAGAGUGACAGCUUCAGUGAAAUUAUUCUAUACAAAUUAUUGUGUUUUCAACAAUAUUCGAUUUACUAGUUGUGUGCGUACCAGCAAGAGACUUGCAUAUACUCCGCUAACGUUAGUAACGUUUUCUUUCCGAUGUGUAGCACAUGGCCAAAAUCUAUUCGUGCGCUGGCCGUCCCAAACCUUUUUCCCCUAGAAUAAGCAUAUUGAGCUGAACUUAAUAAACGUUACUGUCGGUCAUCAAAGGCUCAUUUUAGCACAGCCAUGUACAUAAAACGCAGCUCCGAACAUAGACAGCUACACGCACAUCAAAACAGGCCUCUCGGACCAACGCCAGCAAAGGCCCAUAGACUCGGCCCAAGAAGAAUACCAGCCCAACAAGUGCCACCAAGCGUAGUGAGGCCCAUUAAACUGUUGGCCAGCCCAACACCAGCCUAAUAGAUCGCAUCUCCAGCCCA